GACGAACGCUGGCGGCGUGCUUAACACAUGCAAGUCGAACGGAAAGGCCCCUUUGGGGGUACUCGAGUGGCGAACGGGUGAGUAACACGUGAGUAACCUGCCCUUGACUUCGGGAUAACUUCAGGAAACUGGGGCUAAUACCGGAUAGGAAUCCUUGCUGCAUGGUGGGGGUUGGAAAGCUUCGGCGGUUUUGGAUGGACUCGCGGCUUAUCAGCUUGUUGGUGGGGUAGUGGCUUACCAAGGCUUUGACGGGUAGCCGGCCUGAGAGGGCGACCGGCCACAUUGGGACUGAGAGACGGCCCAGACUCCGACGGGAGGCAGCAGUGGGGAAUAUUGCACAAUGGGCGGAAGCCUGAUGCAGCAACGCCGCGGGCGGGAUGACGGCCUUCGGGUUGUAAACCGCUUUCAGCAGGGGCGAAGCUUGUGGUGACGGUACCUGCAGAAGAAGCACCGGCUAACUACGUG
rnacentral:rRNA from 1 species